CCUACGGGUGGCAGCAGUGAGGAAUAUUGGUCAAUGGGCGUAAGCCUGAACCAGCCAAGUCGCGUGAGGGAAUAAGGCCCUACGGGUUGUAAACCUCUUUUGCCCGGGAGCAAGGUCGGUUACGUGUACCGGCCCGGAGAGUACCCGUAGAAAAAGCAUCGGCUAACUCCGUGCCAGCAGCCGCGGUAAUACGGAGGAUGCGAGCGUUAUCCGGAUUUAUUGGGUUUAAAGGGUGCGUAGGCGGACUGUAAAGGCAGCGGUAAAAAGUCGGGGCUAAACCUCGUCCGGCCGUUGAAACUGGGGGGCUUGAGUGGGCGAGAAGAAGGCGGAAUGCGUGGUGUAGCGGUGAAAUGCAUAGAUAUCACGCAGAACCCCGAUUGCGAAGGCAGCAUACCGGCGCCCUACUGACGCUGAGGCACGAAAGUGCGGGGAUCGAACAGGAUUAGAUACCCUUGUAGUC
rnacentral:rRNA from 1 species